GACGAACGCUGGCGGCGUGCCUAAUACAUGCAAGUCGAACGCAUUUUCUUUCACCGUAGCUUGCUACACCGAAAGAAAAUGAGUGGCGAACGGGUGAGUAACACGUGGGUAACCUGCCCAUCAGCGGGGGAUAACACUUGGAAACAGGUGCUAAUACCGCAUAAUUCCAUUUACCGCAUGGUAGAUGGGUGAAAGGCGCUUUUGCGUCACUGAUGGAUGGACCCGCGGUGCAUUAGCUAGUUGGUGGGGUAACGGCCUACCAAGGCUGCGAUGCAUAGCCGACCUGAGAGGGUGAUCGGCCACACUGGGACUGAGACACGGCCCAGACUCCUACGGGAGGCAGCAGUAGGGAAUCUUCAGCAAUGGACGCAAGUCUGACCGAGCAACGCCGCGUGAGUGAAGAAGGUUUUCGGAUCGUAAAACUCUGUUGUUAGAGAAGAACAAGGAUGAGAGUGGAAAGUUCAUCCCUUGACGGUAUCUAACCAGAAAGCCACGGCUAACUACGUG
rnacentral:rRNA from 1 species